rnacentral:rRNA from 14 species
GUCAGCUCGUGUCGUGAGAUGUUGGGUUAAGUCCCGCAACGAGCGCAACCCUUUUCCUUAUUUGCCAGCGGGUUAAGCCGGGAACUUUAAGGAUACUGCCAGUGACAAACUGGAGGAAGGCGGGGACGACGUCAAGUCAUCAUGGCCCUUACGCCCAGGGCUACACACGUGCUACAAUGGUAGGUACAGAGGGUUGCUACACAGCGAUGUGAUGCUAAUCUCAAAAAGCCUAUCGUAGUCCGGAUUGGAGUCUGCAACUCGACUCCAUGAAGUCGGAAUCGCUAGUAAUCGCGUAACAGCAUGACGCGGUGAAUACGUUCCCGGGCCUUGUACACACCGCCCG